AGCGAACGCUGGCGGCGUGCCUAACACAUGCAAGUCGAACGUGAAAAGGGAAACCUGAGUAAAGUGGCGUACGGGUGAGUAACGCGUAGGUAAUCUACCCCAGAAUCUGGAAUAACCUGCCGAAAGGCGGGCUAAUACUGGAUAGAGCGAGGGAACUCGUAAGAGAGUUUUUCGGGAAAGGGAGCCCGCAAGGGCCUUCGUUCUGGGAUGAGCCUGCGUCUCAUUAGCUAGUUGGUAAGGUAACGGCUUACCAAGGCGAUGAUGAGUAGCUGGUCUGAGAGGAUGAUCAGCCACACUGGAACUGCAACACGGUCCAGACUCCUACGGGAGGCAGCAGUGGGGAAUCUUGCGCAAUGGACGAAAGUCUGACGCAGCCACGCCGCGUGAGUGAAGAAGGCCUUCGGGUUGUAAAGCUCUGUCGGAUGGGACGAACAUCUUCAUAGUGAAUAGCUAUGAGGACUGACGGUACCAUCAAAGGAAGCACCGGCUAACUCCGUG
rnacentral:rRNA from 1 species